GACAGAGCCACCUACUUUGCUUUCCCGUUUACCAUGACUCGCAGUGUUGCACAGAAGAGUUCAAAAGAAAGGUUCCAUUCAAAUGAUUAUUGCAAAAGCAAGCUCACAAGAGCUGGGAGUUGACAUUUCAAAAAAAGAAAUGCUUUGAAUGAGUGAUAUUCAAUUGGGACUAAGGAAAUAUUUGGGAUUUAAGCUUACUUUUCAUAUGGAAGAAUGCCUUUCAAUAAUUAAUGUGGUGUGUUGAUUACCACAAUAC
rnacentral:misc_RNA from 1 species